AUUGAACGCUGGCGGCAUGCCUUACACAUGCAAGUCGAACGGUAACAGGUCUUCGUAUGCUGGCGAGUGGCGGACGGGUGAGUAAUACAUCGUAACGUGCCCAGACGUGGGGGAUAACGAGGCGAAAGCUUUGCUAAUACCGCAUACGAUUUAUGGAUGAAAGCAGUGGACGGCAAGGCCUUGCUCGUUUGGAGGGGCCGAUGGCAGAUUAGGUAGUUGGUGGGAUAAAAGCUUACCAAGCCGACGAUCUGUAGCUGGUCUGAGAGGAUGACCAGCCACACUGGGAGUGAGACACGGCCCAGACUCCUACGGGAGGCAGCAGUGGGGAAUUUUGGAGCAUGGGCGAAAGCCUGAUCCAGCAAUGCCGCGUGCCGGAUGAAGGACUUCGGGUUGUAAAAUGCUUUUGUACGGAAUGAAAAGGCUCUGGCUAAUACAUGAGGAACAUGACGGUACCGUAAGAAUAAGCACCGGCUAACUACGUG
rnacentral:rRNA from 1 species